CUUGGGAACCUGUCACGACUAGCACAGAUAUAUUUUGAUAGCUCUGGAGUUAGUGGACAAAUACCUCCAACAUUUGCUAAUCUUCGGAGCUUGGAGAGAGUGUGGGGGUCAGACACUGAACUCACAGGCCAGAUACCUGACUUCAUUGGAAAUUGGUCAAACCUCAUUCAACUGUGAGAGUGUAUCCAUUUUUCUUCCCCAUUUCUAUAUGUUUUUGAUUAAUGCUUUAUCUAUCAUUUUAUAGCUUGGGAAUCACUUUCUCAUUAUAUGGCUGC